CACAUGUUUACUUUCUCACUUCUCCUUUUUUACAUUUGAAGUUAUUUUCUGUUUCUCCUUCCUUCCGCCACAUCUGUCUUUCUCCUCCUCUCUUUUACUGUCAGUUCUGGUUUGCCCAUCUCUGCGUGUACUUCAAGGUCUUCUUACUGAUGCUUCAAGAUGAACACAACAGUUGAGGCCAUUACUGAAGGCUUUAACACAACUAAGUUUGACAACGUGUCCCACAGCAAGCCUGAUCUCAGACCAGUGAAAACACCUAACUCACCUAACACAGCAUCUCGACCUGAUUGGAUACUCUACACAGUUCCUGCAUCAGCCUUUCUGAUUGGGAUUGUUCUGUUUACGUACGUCUGCAAAACACAACGACGCAGAAAUGCACCUGCAAUGCAGAAGACAAACACAAAUGGACACUUUGCCACUUACACCGACUUUGGGUUCACUAAGAGCGCUACUCAGAGACAUAUGGAGACCAAUAAAAACAACAAGAAGGAUGACACGCAGUCCUAUGAGAAUGUAGAAGCAGCUAUCUACAGCAAUCAAGACAAAGUCACAUAUUAUGUUUCUGCAGAUGAAGAUUAUCUUAACCCGGAUGCAAUGGGGGAAGAGGAAGUGCCAGGGCCAGAAAAACUUCACAACAACACUCUACAACUACCUAGCAAUUUGACCGAUACGGAUGGAGAGUCAUAUGAGAACAUGGAGGGGUGUUUAUAUGCUCUGCCUCGCAAACAAACACAGCAACUCCAGGACGCCGCUGAAGAUGACGACUAUAUCAAUCCUGAUGAAGAUAGAAAACAAGAUCUCGCUCUGGACCAAACAGACACUGAGUCGUAUGAAAUUAUGGUUGGAUCAGACUGUCCUGUGUACACGACCCAUGACACCACGGAGGAUGAUUCAUAUGAACAGAUGAACGGAAUCCCAGUCCUGAUCUAG
rnacentral:lncRNA from 1 species